GGGUUACCCGCUCCGUUCGGGGCGGGCUCGCGGGGUACUCGACCCGUUGGAUUUUUGGCAUUCCCACCUUCAUACUCCUGAAUUCUGAUUGCUGAGAGAGAACGCGCGAAAUCUGUGAAGUUCAGAAAUUGCACUUCCACGGCAUCCUCCGUCAUUCAGAAUCAAGAAGCUGGAGAAGGGUCAACAAUACGCGACGCGCUAGGGUUAGGGCAAAGUGCAAAAGUUCUACAAGUUUUGAUUUCGAUUAGGGCUUCGGAAUUUUCUACUCUUCAAGAGUUGGCCCUAUAUUCUCUCCACUGGGCCUCAAGAUCAUCCAAAAGUCCUUCCAGGAGGAAGGAUGAAUUUUGAGUCGAGCUCAGGGGGCACCGUUUCUGCUACAGCCAUUGAUUCCUCGAACAUAGGGUUUCAGCUUUUGAAGAAGCAUGGUUGGAGGGAAGGAACGGGCCUUGGAGUUUCUGAGCAGGAAGGGAAGGAAGGAGUGGAUUCUCAAACGAGGAAAGAGUUCCAAUAACUUUGAAAGAAUUGCACAAGGAAUCUUAUAACAUGAAAAUCUCAUGUACACAAAGAUUGUGCUAAGUAAGACGGGAAGGUUGGAACCCGUACAAACAUCUGUAAAGAAUAAUAAACGAGGCUUGGGAGCAGAUAAAGUGAAGAAGAAGCUUAAAGAAACUAUCGAUAUUGCAGCCUCUGACAGGAAAAAUAACCAGGAACAUCCUCCUUCGAAGAAAACAAAGGCGCUAUCAAAAUGGAGGAGGAAGAUGCAAGAGGAAGAUAGGAUAUUUCAAGAGAAGGAAUUUGAGAGGGCCUUUUUUAGGGAAUUUUGGCCAGAUAAUGUUUGAUACAUGAUGAACUCCCUUCAUAUCGCUUAAGCAGAUACAAAUGGUUUUUCAAAAGCCUUUUUUUUUAAUUAUGGCUUCAAUGCAGCAACGACAAUCUGAGCAUAAGUCAAUUAAAUAUAUUUUCGACCGUAAGUUUGAAUCUCCACUUUUACCUGUUUAACUCAAAUAUUUGUAAUAUAUUAUUUGUUUUUUUCUUUUCUUAAUAUUACAUUAUUUAGGGUGGAGAUUUGAAGUUAUGUUUAGGUCGGUAGUUUAUUAUUAACUAGACUAACAUAUUGUAUUUAUCUACUUGUUUUGUAAUUUAUUUAUUAAAUAUCCUAUUAUAU